AUCGAAGACAUCAGCUUCUUCAUAAGUUCCCACACGAAUUGCUUGAUUCAUAGUCGAAGACGAUGCUGUAACGCGACCCUGUUAUAGGUCUGUAGCUCAGUUGGUUAGAGCGCACCCCUGAUAAGGGUGAGGUCGGCAGUUCAAAUCUGCCCAGACCUACCAAUUGCUUGGUGCAGAAGAUUACGGGGCCAUAGCUCAGCUGGGAGAGCGCCUGCUUUGCACGCAGGAGGUCAGCGGUUCGAUCCCGCUUGGCUCCACCACUCUCUACGUGUUGCGGUGAGUUAAAGAGUUCAGAAAUGAGCGCUUCAGGGUAAGCCUGGCGAGUGCUGAUUUCUGGUCUUUUGACCGGUAGAAAAUCGUUCUUUAAAAAUUUGGAUAUGUGAUAGAAGUGACUAACGAUGUGUUUCACUGCACAUUGUUAAUCAAGGCAAAAUUUGUAGUUCUCAAGACGCAAAUUUUCGGCGAAUGUCGUCUUCACGAUUGAGACAGUAACCAGAUUGCUUGGGGUUAUAU
rnacentral:tRNA from 1 species